GGGGCCAUGGCUGAGGGGUAGAGUAUUUGCCUGGCAUGCAGAAGGUCCUAGGUUCAGUUCCCGGCAUCUCCA
rnacentral:tRNA from 1 species